rnacentral:rRNA from 1 species
GACGAACGCUGGCGGCGUGCUUAACACAUGCAAGUCGAACGGAAAGGCCCUGCUUUUGUGGGGUGCUCGAGUGGCGAACGGGUGGGUAACACGUGAGUAACCUGCCCUUGACUUUGGGAUAACUUCAGGAAACUGGGGCUAAUACCGGAUAGGAGCUCCUGCUGCAUGGUGGGGGUUGGAAAGUUUCGGCGGUUGGGGGUGGACUCGCGGCUUAUCAGCUUGUUGGUGGGGUAGUGGCUUACCAAGGCUUUGACGGGUAGCCGGCCUGAGAGGGUGACCGGCCACAUUGGGACUGAGAUACGGCCCAGACUCCUACGGGAGGCAGCAGUGGGGAAUAUUGCACAAUGGGCGGAAGCCUGAUGCAGCAACGCCGCGUGCGGGAUGACGGCCUUCGGGUUGUAAACCGCUUUCGCCUGUGACGAAGCGUGAGUGACGGUAAUGGGUAAAGAAGCACCGGCUAACUACGUG